rnacentral:rRNA from 1 species
UACGUAGGGUGCAAGCGUUGUCCGGAAUUAUUGGGCGUAAAGAGCUCGUAGGCGGUCUGUCGCGUCGGCUGUGAAAUCCCGAGGCUCAACCUCGGGUCUGCAGUCGAUACGGGCAAACUGGAGUGUUGCAGGGGAGACUGGAAUUCCUGGUGUAGCGGUGAAAUGCGCAGAUAUCAGGAGGAACACCGGUGGCGAAGGCGGGUCUCUGGGUCGGUACUGACGCUGAGGAGCGAAAGCAUGGGGAGCGAACAGG